ACGCACGCUGGCGGCGUGCUUAACACAUGCAAGUCGAACGGAGAGGCCCCUUUGGGGGUACUCGAGUGGCGAACGGGUGAGUAACACGUGAGUAACCUGCCCUUGACUUCGGGAUAACUUCAGGAAACUGGGGCUAAUACCGGAUAGGAAUCCUUGCUGCAUGGUGGGGGUUGGAAAGCUUCGGCGGUUUUGGAUGGACUCGCGGCUUAUCAGCUUGUUGGUGGGGUAGUGGCUUACCAAGGCUUUGACGGGUAGCCGGCCUGAGAGGGCGACCGGCCACAUUGGGACUGAGAUACGGCCCAGACUCCUACGGGAGGCAGCAGUGGGGAAUAUUGCACAAUGGGCGGAAGCCUGAUGCAGCAACGCCGCGUGCGGGAUGACGGCCUUCGGGUUGUAAACCGCUUUCAGCAGGGGCGAAGCUUGUGGUGACGGUACCUGCAGAAGAAGCACCGGCUAACUACGUG
rnacentral:rRNA from 1 species